rnacentral:rRNA from 1 species
AUGGAGUACUGGCUCGAGCCGGCCGAGCUCGCCGCCCUGCGCCGGGAGGUCGGCGUCGACCCGUACUGGGUGCCGCCGCCAGGGUGGAAGCGCGGGGACCCCGUGUCCGCCGACGGCUACGCGCUCAAGGCAAAGAUGCAGGUGGAGGAGCUCACCAAGGAGCUCGCCGGAGUAAAAAGGCACAUGCAGCAGCUGGUGAAGGCACAUCAAGGCACAAUGAACAAUGAAAAGAAACCCGAGGCAGUCAAAGCCUGCAUUUCUCAUGAGCCUUAUCAGGACAAGUAUGAGUGUGUGAUGAAGGCCAAUGGCAAUCUGGAAAAGCAAGUCCUGUCCUUGGAGGAGAAGUACACCAGCGCGACACGGGCGAAUGGCAAGCUGGAGGAGGAGGUUCUGUUCCUCAAGGAGAAGUAUGAGGCUGUGCUUGAGAAGAACACCAGGCUGGAGCAGCAGGUGGCUGCUCUGUCCACUUCUUUCCUGUCUCUCAAGGAGGGCAUGCAGUUUCUGAAUGAUGGGGAGCAGCAGCAGCUGCGGAUCACGGGACCAGAGCCGCGUCUUCUUCUGUGCGCCAAGGAGUGCCGCCAAGCUGACAGGCAGGAGAGCAAUGGCGCAGGCGACCAGCUCGCCGACGUCGACGGCGACGGCGGGAAGUGCAGGGAGUGGCCGGACGAGGCGCAACCCUCGUCGCCGCGGACCCCGACGGCGGCGAGAGACGACGACGAGUGCGCGAUGGACGGCAGUCUCGAGCUCCCGCCCACGCCGCCGUCGGCCUCCUCCACCAACGCCGCCUCCUCCGCCAAGCUCCUGCUCCUCCCCGCCCCAGGCUCGCCGGUCCAGCCACCGGCCACCAGCAGCAGCCCCAGGGUUGACGUCUGCCUCCAGGAGCCAGCGCAGCCCCACUCCGGCGGCCUGGACCUGCAGCUCCGGCACACGGCGCAGGACGCGUCGUCGCUGCCGUUCCCGUGCGGAGCCGCCGUCGGCCUGCCGGAAAGCGGGAAGACGACGACCGGCGGCAGAGUGGGCACCGAGCUGGCCCUCGCCACCCCCUCCUACUGA